GACGAACCGUGCGAACGUUGUUCGGAAUCACUGGGCUUAAAGGGCGCGUAGGCGGGCCGCCGCGUCCGGGGUGAAAUCCCCCCGCUCAACGGGGGGACGGCCUCGGAUACGGGCGGCCUGGAGGCGGGUAGGGGCACGCGGAACUGUGGGUGGAGCGGUGAAAUGCGUUGAGAUCCACAGGAACUCCGGUGGCGAAGGCGGGUCUCUGGGCCGAUACUGACGCUGAGGAGCGAAAGCAUGGGUAGCGAACAGG
rnacentral:rRNA from 1 species